rnacentral:rRNA from 1 species
CCUACGGGAGGCUGCAGUGAGGAAUAUUGGACAAUGGCCGAGAGGCUGAACCAGCCAAGUCGCGUGAGGGAAGACGGCCCUACGGGUUGUAAACCUCUUUUGUAGGGGAGCAAAGAGAGUCACGUGUGACUCAUUGAGAGUACCCGAAGAAAAAGCAUCGGCCAACUCCGUGACAGCAGGCGCGGUAAUACGGAGGAGGCGAGCGUUAUCCGGAUGUAGUGGGUGUAAAGUGUGCGCAGGCGGAGGUGCAAGUCAGGGGUCAAAUUGCGGGGUGCAACCCCGUACUGCCGUUGAAACUGCAUCCCUUGAGUGCGCGAGAAGUAUGCGGAAUGCGUGGUGUAGCGGUGAAAUGCAUAGAUAUCACGCAGAACUCCGAUUGCGAAGGCAGCAUACCGGCGCGCAACUGACGCUCAUGCACGAAAGCGUGGGUAUCGAACAGGAUUAGAUACCCCUGUAGUC